GAUGAUAAAUACUCCAUAAGGAAUCUUAAAUCAGCUCAGCAGCCUGGGAAAGGAUGGAGAAUAGCCUUAAAAAAAACAGCACCUAUAAAAAGAACUGGAUCAAAAGUAGAUGCCCGAUCACAUACCCACUGUGGUUGGGCUGAUAAAAAUAGCCACUUGCACAGAUUUAGUUCACUUCAAUGUCAGGCUUCCCUCCAACUACCCUGCCUCCCUCCCCCACCUUCAACUCGAUAAAUGAUUCCCAUGGCGGCGAACUUGGUGUUCAUAGCGGGUACUUUAGUGUCCUACACACCGAAGGACAGCCUGUAUCAGAUGCUGCAUUGAGAGGCAGCCAGUGGAAAAUGGAAAAAAUGACAUUGAUUGUGAAGAAACUGGGACAAAUGAAUUACUUCAUGAGUUUCUGCCUUAUUAUACACUCUGUAAGACUUUGCUAGAUUUAAAAAAAGGCCAUUCACUACAGCUCUUAAAACAUCAUUCCAUGCUAGUAUAGCACGGAAUUGGACCCAGGAGACAAGAUCAGAAAACAGAAGUAACAGGAACAAGAAGCAAUACCACUUAAUGCCUUUUUUGAGUAGUUCUGUGACACAUAACUGAGUAUCAAACCACCUGACUACAUGAAAGCCUUAUGAAUCAUGAUUUUUGAACAAUAUAUUUAG